GGGAUCGUAGCCUCGUGACUAGAGCGUCGGGCUCACGACUUGAAGGUCGGAGGUUCGAUUCCCGAUCCCA
rfam:Macrostomum lignano uti_cns_0018403, whole genome shotgun sequence.